rnacentral:rRNA from 1 species
CCUANGGGAGGCAGCAGUAGGGAAUAUUGGACAAUGGGCGAAAGCCUGAUCCAGCCAUCUCGCGUGAAGGAUGAAGGCCCUCUGGGUUGUAAACUUCUUUUAUCAGGGAAGAAACCCCCGGAUUCACUCCGGGGCUGACGGUACCUGAAGAAUAAGCACCGGCUAACUCCGUGCCAGCAGCCGCGGUAAUACGGAGGGUGCAAGCGUUAUCCGGAUUUACUGGGUCUAAAGGGUGCGUAGGCGGGUUUGUAAGUCAGUGGUGAAAGCCUGGAGCUUAACUCCGGAAUUGCCAUUGAUACUGCUUAUCUUGAGUACAGUUGAGGCGGGCGGAAUGUGUCAUGUAGCGGUGAAAUGCUUAGAUAUGACACAGAACACCGAUUGCGAAGGCAGCUCGCUAAACUGUAACUGACGCUGAGGCACGAAAGCGUGGGGAUCGAACAGGAUUAGAUACCCCANUANUC